AUUGAAUGGUCGAAUCAGUACUGCCUGACUCAGUGACAAUGAAGGUCAGAAUUCUAAUAGUGACUGUGUUUAUAUUAUUGCUGGUCCAGCAGCCAGCUGAUUGUUUUCCAGCGUCAUCCAUGGAUCCGUCAGCUACAUCGGAACAGCCUGUUAAUACUAGCACCGUUAGAACGAAGCCACCGUUCAAUCCUCUACGAUGGCUUAUUUCGAAAUCAGGAGCUCUGUUUAGUCGGGGUGUACAUCUGUAAGGCGACAAUAGGUGGGAACUACCAUCGUAUACAUUUCUAAAUGCGAGUAUUUAUUAUUGAAAAUGCGAAGAAAAAAAACCUUGAACGAGUCACCAUACAAACCUUCAUAUCGUGUUUCACUCGGAUGCUACCGGGGUGACGAAUGGCGUCGGUACUGCAACUUAGACUAUAGAAAUGGAAAUGAAACACGAUCAGAGUCUUGCUUUGUUUUUGUUUGACAUUUGAUACCCCGCAACGCACGAAACUUUAAAGUGUCAGUUAUAUGCAAAAGAAAAUAUUCAAUGGUAAUUUCAACUAGAACGGACUAAUAAUUCAAAGUCAAUCAUAACAAAACUAGAGUUGUGUAAUACCAUCCAAUCGACAUUAAUUGCUGUCAUACCGGUUACGCAAAGCCUGCUACGAUUGUAGCUCCAGCAAAUUACGCAAACGUCGUGCGUCGGAAACACCAACAGCAACGCUGAGACGGACGACGGACCAAAACUUCACGUGCCGAAGCAGCAAAGAUGAACCACAAACAACGUGUUCGGAAAGGCUUAGAAAAGUAAAAACUUUCUGGCAUUGCCAACAUUUUCGUGUUGUUUGGUAUCAACAAGCGGUUUAUUUGAUAAAACUUCGACCUAUUCUACCCUUAAUGGCAACGUGUUCACACCAAUACUUGUACAGGAAAGUUUGUAACAUGACAUUUUUCACUCAGCUCACACAAAAAAGAAAAA